GGCCUAGUAGCGGAAGGUCCGCACCUGAUUUCAAUUGCCGCAAACGUCAAUAGUCAACAGGAUCCUAGGACUCAGGAGAGGCUCGUUCAACUCGAGCCUGGGCCG